GUCCCUGUAGCGCCGUGGAUAGCGCGUUGACUUCUAAUCCAAAGGCGUGGGUUCGAAUCCCACCAGGGAUG